rnacentral:rRNA from 1 species
UACAGAGGGUGCGAGCGUUAAUCGGAGUUACUGGGCGUAAAGCGCACGUAGGUGGCGACGUAAGCCAGAUGUGAAAUCCCCGGGCUUAACCUGGGAAUGGCAUUUGGGACUGCAAGGCUAGAGUACGGUAGAGGGGGAUGGAAUUCCGCGUGUAGCAGUGAAAUGCGUAGAUAUGCGGAGGAACACCGAUGGCGAAGGCAAUCCCCUGGACCUGUACUGACGCUCAUGCACGAAAGCGUGGGGAGCAAACAGG